rnacentral:rRNA from 1 species
AACCCGGUGAUCUAGCCAUGGGCAGGUUGAAGGUUGGGUAACACUAACUGGAGGACCGAACCGACUAAUGUUGAAAAAUUAGCGGAUGACUUGUGGCUGGGGGUGAAAGGCCAAUCAAACCGGGAGAUAGCUGGUUCUCCCCGAAAGCUAUUUAGGUAGCGCCUCGUGAACUCAUCUUCGGGGGUAGAGCACUGUUUCGACUAGGGGGUCAUCCCGACUUACCAACUCGAUGCAAACUACGAAUACCGAAGAAUGUUAUCACGGGAGACACACGGCGGGUGCUAACGUUCGUCGUGAAGAGGGAAACAACCCAGACCGCCAGCUAAGGUCCCAAAGUCAUAGUUAAGUGGGAAACGAAGUGGGAAGGCUCAGACAGCCAGGAUGUUGGCUUAGAAGCAGCCAUCAUUUAAAGAAAGCGUAAUAGCUCACUGGUCGAGUCGGCCUGCGCGGAAGAUGUAACGGGGCUAAACUAUGCACCGAAGCUGCGGCAGCGAACGUAUCACUUAAACUGAUUAAGUGAUACUCAAAUGUAUCAAAACGAUUGACGGAGCGAAGCGACGUCAAUGCGUCCAACAAAGUCGAGGCGGAAACGUCAGGCAGUCAGUUUAAGGAUACGUUC